rnacentral:tRNA from 1 species
CUAGCCCUGGCUUAGUGGUUAGAGCAUUGGCCUGUGGACCCAAGGGUUGUGGUUCAAUUCCUGGUCAAGG